CGAACGCUGGCGGCGUGCUUAACACAUGCAAGUCGAACGGUAAGGCCCUUCGGGGUACACGAGUGGCGAACGGGUGAGUAACACGUGGGUGAUCUGCCCUGCACUUCGGGAUAAGCCUGGGAAACUGGGUCUAAUACCGGAUAUGACCAUGCGCUUCACGGUGUGUGGUGGAAAGCUUUUGCGGUGUGGGAUGGGCCCGCGGCCUAUCAGCUUGUUGGUGGGGUAAUGGCCUACCAAGGCGACGACGGGUAGCCGGCCUGAGAGGGUGUCCGGCCACACUGGGACUGAGAUACGGCCCAGACUCCUACGGGAGGCAGCAGUGGGGAAUAUUGCACAAUGGGCGCAAGCCUGAUGCAGCGACGCCGCGUGGGGGAUGACGGCCUUCGGGUUGUAAACCUCUUUCAGUAGGGACGAAGCGCAAGUGACGGUACCUACAGAAGAAGCACCGGCCAACUACGUGCCAGCAGCCGCGGUAAUACGUAGGGUGCGAGCGUUGUCCGGAAUUACUGGGCGUAAAGAGCUCGUAGGUGGUUUGUCGCGUUGUUCGUGAAAUCUCACAGCUUAACUGUGAGCGUGCGAGCGAUACGGGCAGACUGGAGUACUGCAGGGGAGACUGGAAUUCCUGGUGUAACGGUGGAAUGCGCAGAUAUCAGGAGGAACACCGGUGGCGAAGGCGGGUCUCUGGGCAGUAACUGACGCUGAGGAGCGAAAGCGUGGGGAGCGAACAGGAUUAGAUACCCUGGUAGUCCACGCCGUAAACGGUGGGUACUAGGUGUGGGUUUCCUUCCUUGGGAUCCGUGCCGUAGCUAACGCAUUAAGUACCCCGCCUGGGGAGUACGGCCGCAAGGCUAAAACUCAAAGAAAUUGACGGGGGCCCGCACAAGCNACGGAGCAUGGGAUUAAUUNGAUGGAAGGCGAAA
rnacentral:rRNA from 1 species